GAUUUCUUUAAAUGUAUCAAAUGUUUGUUAGGUUAUGUGUGUACACUUGCGUUCUACAUGAUUUUGGCAAAGUUGAAAGAUCGUAAACUGAAAAAAUGUCGAUGAGUCGUCUACGAAUGAUCAGAAGGAAUAUCGAGAAUUACGGCAGUGUACGACAUCUAAAUAAUCAUAUUAUAAUUUUAAGAAAGACUCGCCCAGACCGACAGCCUCUGUAGAGUUAAAAUGCCAACAAGAAAAUACUUUAGUUUACUCAUUUAAGUCGCUACUCAUUAAGACAAUCUACUAAAGUUUUAUAGCACUUUUUUUUCCAUUUUUUUUCUUCUUUUUUUUUAAUCAACAUACUCUAUCAGUAUUAUCAAUGUACGUAACAACAUGAACAGAUAAAGAGAUUUCGCUUUUUCCUCAUAAGAGAAUCUCUUUUUUGUGUUACACUUUAAUUAUCUCCGGAGACACUGUGUCUAUAUAUAUAUACUUUUUUUUCCUUUAUAUAUAUAUAUAUUUUUUUUUUGUUUUACUGUUUGUCGGAUUUUUUUUUCUCUUCUACAAAUUGACCUAUAAAUCUGAUAUUGCUUAAAUCAACCAAAGCCCCUCAGAGGCAACGAUCCCCGAAGCUUUUUAUGGCUCGCUUUUGCAAGAACUCUAUCUCUCUCUCUUUAUGAAAGGUUAGGUGAAGUAGACAGUCAUCUAUCAAGGGGGAUGAAGGUCGCGAUGAUGAGCUCUGGCACUUAAAAUCGCUUUCAAUUCGGACUCUAACUGCUUUUUAGUUCGUUCGCUUACCGAUCGGCCUCCUACUACCGGUUGGGCGGUUUCUUGAUGGGCAGAGCGUCGUCCUGGAUCUUCUCGUGAGACGGCCGCCCCAGGGAUAACGUCAUCUCCGGGUUCAGUGUGUAGGAACAGCCGCC